rnacentral:rRNA from 1 species
AUACGGAGGAUCCGAGCGUUAUCCGGAUUUAUUGGGUUUAAAGGGAGCGUAGGUGGAUUGUUAAGUCAGUUGUGAAAGUUUGCGGCUCAACCGUAAAAUUGCAGUUGAUACUGGGUGUCUUGAGUACAGUAGAGGCAGGCGGAAUUCGUGGGGUAGCGGUGAAAUGCUUAGAUAUCACGAAGAACUCCGAUCGCGAAGGCAGCUCACCGGGCCGGAACUGACACUGAUGCUCGAAAGUGCGGGUAUCAAACAGGAUUAGAUACCCUGGUAGUCCGCACAGUAAACGAUGAAUACUCGCUGUUUGCGAUACACGGUAAGCGGCCAAGCGAAAGCGUUAAGUAUUCCACCUGGGGAGUACGCCGGCAACGGUGAAACUCAAAUGAAUUGACGGGG